rnacentral:rRNA from 1 species
AGCGGCGGACGGGUGAGUAACGCGUGGGUAACCUGCCUCAUACAGGGGGAUAACAGCUGGAAAACGGCUGCUAAUACCGCAUAAGCGCACAGUACCGCAUGGUACGGUGUGAAAAACUCCGGUGGUAUGAGAUGGACCCGCGUCUGAUUAGGUAGUUGGUGGGGUAACGGCCUACCAAGCCGACGAUCAGUAGCCGACCUGAGAGGGUGACCGGCCACAUUGGGACUGAGACACGGCCCAA